rnacentral:lncRNA from 10 species
AUCCCUCCUCUUUUUAAAGAAGAUUUAUCUCACCCGGCUUUUGAGCCAAGUAAAGGCAAUUGCAACAACGCUGAUUUCCUCGUAGGGCUUUCAAAUUGCAGGUCUGCACCUCAGAGUUAGGAAUGGAGAGAGACACACAGAGACACAUGAGGACAGAAGCAAGCCUGAGGUGCCACGGAUGCCACAGACGUCACAGACGCCAUGGACUGUCAGCCACCAGCAGCUGGAGGAGCAGGAAGGACCCUCCCUAGGCCUCCAGAUGGGGCACGGCCCUGCCGAUUCCUGGAUCUCAGACUUCCGGCCUCCAGAACUGUGAGAGAAUCGAUGUCUGUUGCUCAAGCCCCAGCGUGGUGCUUUCUUACAGCAGCCCCAGGACACUGGGACACUGGGACACUCACACACACAACGUCCAUAACCAUUUUACUUUUCAGAGACUUGAACAAGCUAACCUGCAAGAAGUUCCAAGAAGGAGGAGGCAAUCACCCCCUUGUCUCCAUUUAUUUUACCACAAACCUUUUUCCUCAAAAAAACUCAGUGUGCCAUGAAACGUACUUUGAGAAGUGGGGGUCUUUGGCAUGCAUCUGUGGUACCCCAGGAAGGUGACAUAGAAGGAGGGGCCAGGCAGGGACCACAGAGUCUGGGUGCCCCUCCAGAGAGGGUGUCUCACCAAGCCACAGGCCAACACCAGGCCCCGCAGAGACCCCUGCUCGUGCUCAGUGAAUGAGUGGGCACCCCGACUAACAGGAAUUUCAUCCUAUUGACAGACAACCGACCCUCUGCCUCUGGACCAGUGUAGGGGUUCACCCCAAAGGGAGGCCCCACCAGACAUUUGCUCGCCUCCCUGGCCUCAACUCCCAGGCCUCCCCAGCCCCUUGCCCACCCCAGGCUUCCGUGACACCAAGCUGCCACAUGCCUUGCCUUCUCUGCUCUGGGCCUUCUCACACAUUGUUCCUGCUGUCUAGAAUGACCCCCUACUCUCACUCCAAUUCCACCUUUUGUCUGCUGACUGGAUCGCCACUCAUUCAUGAAGGCCAAGUUCAGGGACUAUGGACGCCCCUCUCAGGCCACACCUCCCCACCCUCUGCCAGCACCUUCCACAGUGAGGGCCCUGACAGCUCCUCCACCCUGGUGUCCAGGCAGCUUCUCGCAGUGAAGAGAAGAUGAACUUCAACAUGGCGGUAGCAGUUCACGCUGACCUUCUCCCUUGG